rnacentral:rRNA from 1 species
CUUGAAUAUUCAAACAUAUUCAUGACCCAUGUUUGGAAUGAGACGAACACUAAGUUGUCUGGCUUAAAUAAAAAAAACAUUCAAAAAUAAAAGUCACAAAAAAUAAUCUAUUUCAUGCCCAUGGGGCAAUAAAAAAUUAUUCAAGUUAUAAUAAUAUAAAUGUAACUCCAAUCAAAUGUUAUGAAAACGCAUUGUUAAAUAAAAAUAUAAUUCUUACUGAAAAUAAGAAUGAAUCCGGAAUUUAUCGUUGAGUGAAUACAUUAAAUAAUAAUACUUAUGUAGGUAGUGGUUUAAAUCUCUCAAAAAGAGUAGGAGAUUACUACAAAAAAAGUGAAUUAAAUAGGAAUCCUAGACCUAUACAUGCUGCUCUACUAAAAUAUGGAUACGAAAAUUUCAAUUUAGAAAUUUUAGAGUAUUGCAAAGCAGAUGAGCUACUUGUAAGAGAACAGUAUUAUUUGGAUUUAUUAAUACCUGAGUAUAAUGUUUUAACACGUGCUUAUUCUUUGUUAGGUUUUAAACAUAGCCCAGAAAAUAUUGCUUUGUUUAAACUAAAAAAGAUUUCACAGGAACAUAAAGAUAUUUUAUCUUUAACUCAUUUAGGUAAGGUUGUUAGUCAAGAAACUAAAGAUAAAUUAUCUCUUGCUACAACCAACUAUAAAAAAAAUAAUCCUCUUUCAUCUGAAGCUUUAGCUAAUAUAAAAGCUAAAACUUUGGCACGUGAAGGAGUAUCUGUCUCAAUUUUAAAUACUCAAACUAAUGAAGUAAUAAGUUUUUCAACUUUAACUGAAGCAGGACAGUAUUUAGAUGUAAAAAGACAAGCUAUACGAAACGCAAUUAAUAGAGGAAGUCUUGUUAAAGGACUUUAUCGUGUUUCAGAAGAUAAGUAGGCAGUAUAUACACAUAAAUAGGUACAAUCAAAUUUAUAUAAAAUUACUUUAGCUUCGAUAUUAAAGAAAAGAAGCCAGGAAUAUAAAGCAUUAAUAAUGUAUAUUAUAACCUGUUGUCUAAAUGGAUAGUUCAAAAAAUGAACUGUUUAGGGAGAAGAUCCAUGUUUAAUUAGUACAUAAACAUGGAUUCGCGUGUAUGUCAAAAGGGAAACAGCCCAGAACAAGAGUUAAGGUUCCGAAAUUAUUAUUAAGUGAAAUUAAGAAAGUCUUUAUUUAAGUCGACAAGGAGAUGGGCUUAGAAGCAGCCAUAAUUCAAAGACCUCGUAACAGAGCGCUUGUUAAUUUUUAAAGGCAUCGAAAAUUUAACGGAUCUAAAUAAUGUACCGAUACCUUGUCCAUAUUUGAAUAUAAUAGAUGUAAUAUUAUAUUCAUUUACUGGGGUAGCAGAACAUUGAGUGAACAUGAAGCAUUCCUAUUAUUUUAUAAUAAAUGCGUUUACAUUACACUCAAGAGAGAAUGGUGACAUGAGUAACAAAAAGAAAUUUCGAGGCUUAGUUGACUAAGGAUAGUGGCGAAGCUCUAUCCAAGGUCCCUCGAAAAUCCGCCUAAAGCUUAUGGUUUUAUUUAAAGUAACGGCCUCUAAGUUUUCACUUCCAAAGGUUGAAACGAUGAGAAAAUCUUAUUACUUAAAUGACAACAUUUUUCAAGUGGAAAGUGUGCUGGAAAAAAUAAGUAAUAUAUCUUUAAACUCAUGAAUGAGUUUACUAGGUCCCUUCCACAACCUGGAAGGAUUAGACAAGAUGAAAAAAAACCGUACCUAGAAACUGUGACAAGUAAGCUAGUAGAGAAUACGAAGGCGUAAAUGAGCUAACAAUCAUAAAGGAACUCGGCAAACUAACUACCGUAACUUCGGGAUAAGGAGGGCUCAGUUGUACCGUUUUAAUAUUUAAAUAUUAAAACGGUUAAGAUGGAAGAAGCAUGAAAUAUUGUUGUACGACUGUUUAAUUAAAACAAAGCACUUUGCAUAACGACUUAAGUCUAAGUAUAGAGUGUGAUUUCUGCCCGGUGCCGGCUGGCUAACGAAAAUAACUAACUUUAAAAAGUUUGGUACUGUAGGAACCCCCGGUUAAUGGCGGCCUUAGCGUGAGGGUCCUAAGGUAGCGGAAUACCUUGACUGUUAAAUGCAGUCUUUGCAUGAAUGAUGUAACGAUACAACAGCUGUCUCUAUGAUUGACUCAGUGAAAUUGGCAUAACUGUGCAGAUACAGUUUACCUCUAGUUAGACGAGAAGACCCUAUGCAGCUUUACUGUUACUAAUUAUUAGGUAUGGUUGGGGACAAAUUUCAGUAAAUAAGGUAAUUGAUCAGAUUCAAAUGUAAUACCUUUAUUUGGGGAUCGUAUUGUGAGGGUUAUUUAAUCCCCUUCUUUUCCUAAAAAGAAAAGAAUGUAACCUUAGAAAGGAAAAAUUGCUAGGAGACAGUUUAUGCGGGGCACAGACCCCACAAAGAGUAAAUGGGAGUGUCCAACUAUGUUUUAUAUUUGUUUUUAUAUCUCUUAGUUCUUUAGGGAACUAAGAGGUAAGCGUAAGCUAACAGAUAUAUCACAGAAUCAAAAAUAUUAAUUUUUGUUUGUUUGUAAUAGUAGAUAGCAUUAUGCUAUACUCUAUCAUAUUUAUGUAUUGAUGUACAAGCUAGACAGUAAAAUGUCUAAUAUUUUGCUUUUCUGUAUUUAGAUACUUAUAAAAGUAUAGACUUACAGGGUAUUAAUGAGAAGCAAUUUUUAUCGUUAGGUAAGAUUUUAACUAUGGUGAAAUUAGUUGUAGAUGAGAUAUUACGAAUUAUUCUAAUAUCUUAUUAGUUAUCGUAUUUUUUUA